rnacentral:rRNA from 1 species
UAAUCUUCCCCAAGAGUCCAUAUCGACGGGAAGGUUUGGCACCUCGAUGUCGGCUCAUCGCAUCCUGGGGCUGAAGCAGGUCCCAAGGGUUGGGCUGUUCGCCCAUUAAAGCGGUACGCGAGCUGGGUUUAGAACGUCGUGAGACAGUUCGGUCCCUAUCCUCUGCAGCCGGAGGAGAUUUGAGGAAGGCUAUCCCUAGUACGAGAGGACCGGGAUGGACGUAGCUCUCGUGUGCCAGUUGUCCUGCCAAGGGCAUGGCUGGUUAGCGACCUACGGAAGGGAUAACCGCUGAAAGCAUCUAAGUGGGAAACCCGUUCCAAGAUGAGAUCUCCCACAGAGUCAAUCUGGUAAGGCCCGUGGAAGACCACCACGUUGAUAGGCCGGAGGUGUAAGUGCGGUAACGCAUUCAGCCGACCGGUACUAAUCGGCCGAGGGCUUGGAUC